rnacentral:rRNA from 1 species
GCUCGAGUGGCGAACGGGUGAGUAACACGUGGGUGAUCUGCCCUGCACUUCGGGAUAAGCCUGGGAAACUGGGUCUAAUACCGGAUAGGAGCCAUUUUUAGUGUGAUGGUUGGAAAGUUUUUUCGGUGUAGGAUGAGCUCGCGGCCUACCAGCUUGUUGGUGGGGUAAUGGCCUACCAAGGCGGCGACGGGUAGCCGGCCUGAGAGGGUGGACGGCCACAUUGGGACUGAGAUACGGCCCAG